rnacentral:rRNA from 1 species
AAUGAACGUUGGCGGCGUGGAUUAGGCAUGCAAGUCGCGCGGAAAGGCCCCGCAAGGGGCGCUCGAGCGGCGAAAGGGAUAGUAACACGUGGAUUACCUACCUCCAGGACGGGGAUAGCUGCGGGAAACUGCAAUUAAUACCCGAUGACGUCUUCGGACCAAAGGUGUGAUUCCGCCUGGAGACGGGUCCGCGUCCUAUUAGCUAGUUGGCAGGGUAACGGCCUACCAAGGCUCAGAUGGGUAGCGGGUGUGAGAGCACGACCCGCAUCACUGGGACUGAGACACUGCCCAGACACCUACGGGUGGCUGCAGUCGAGGAUCUUCGGCAAUGGGCGAAAGCCUGACCGAGCGACGCCGCGUGCGGGAUGAAGGCCUUCGGGUUGUAAACCGCUGUCAGUGGGGAGGAAAUACUGGUGGGAACACCCUCCAGUUUGACCUAUCCGCAGAGGAAGGACGGGCUAAGUUCGUGCCAGCAGCCGCAGUAACAC